rnacentral:lncRNA from 10 species
GUGGCUAUGAUGGUAGAACUUACAAGACUUCAGUGGACAUAAGUACAAGUAUCACACAAAGACAUUCUGGAGAAUGGCAGAAAAGUGAGCGAAGCCAGAAAAACAACACUUCAAAAGGAGACGGGGUCAAGGUGGCAGGCAAGAUGGUCAAAUAGAAGUAGCUUCAGUCUGCAGCUCCCAGUGAGAUCAACACAGAAGGCAGGUGGUUUCUGCAUUUCUAA